AUAACUAAGCGGAGGAAAAGAAACUAACCAGGAUUCCCCCAGUAACGGCGAGUGAAGCGGGAAGAGCUCACAAUGUAAAUCUGACCCUCUGGGUCCGAAUUGUAGUCUGGAGAGGCGUAACCAGCUGGAGCCGGGGGCGAAGUCUCUUGGAAAAGAGCAUCAAGGAGGGUGACAAUCCCGUUCUUGCCCCCAGGCCCCACGCGUACGGUUCGUUUUCUACGAGUCGAGUUGCUUGGGAUUGCAGCUCAAAGCGGGUGGUAAAUUCCAUCUAAAGCUAAACACGGGUGGGAGACCGAUAGCGAACAAGUACCGUGAGGGAAAGAUGCAAAGAACUUUGAAAAGAGAGUUAAAGAGUGCCUGAAAUUGCUGAAAGGGAAGCGAAGGAAACCAGUGUCUGGCAGUCUUGCUUCUCCUCUGCCCCUCGGGGCUCUGGUUUGCGCUUCUGCCGUGGCCAGGGCCGGGUGUCGUUGCGGGAGUCUGCGCUUUGGGAGGUAGCAUCUCUUCGGAGUGUGAAGACCUUGGCGUGUCGUCGCGACGGCGGCCGGUUCUGACGAAAUGGUUUUCUUUAC
rnacentral:rRNA from 1 species